rnacentral:rRNA from 1 species
GACUCUCGGCAAUAGAUAUCUCGGCUCCUGCAUCGAUGUAGCAAAAUAUGAUACUUAUUGUGAAUUGUAGAAUUCCGUGAACCAUAGAGUAUUUGAACGCAAGUUGCGCCCGAAGCCACUAGGCCGAGGGAACGUCUGCCUGGGAAUCA